GGAUUCCCCUAGUAACUGCGAGUGAAGAGGGAAGAGCUCAAAUUUAAAAUCUGGCUGUUCUAGUUAGCAGUCCGAGUUGUAGUUUAGAGAAGUGCUAUCCGCGCUGGCCUGUGCAUAAGUUUCUUGGAAAAGAACAUCAUAGAGGGUGACAAUCCCGUCUUUGGCACAGAUCACCAGGGCUUUUGUGAUGCGCUCUCGACGAGUCGUGUUGUUUGGGAAUGCAGCACUAAAUGGGUGGUAAAUUCCAUCUAAAGCUAAAUAUUGGCGAGAGACCGAUAGCGAACAAGUACCGUGAGGGAAAGAUGAAAAGAACUUUGAAAAGAGAGUUAAACAGUACGUGAAAUUGUUGAAAGGGAAACGCUUGAAGUCAGUCGCGUUCUUCAGGGAUCAAGUUGCCUCUUUGGGUGACCGCACUUCCUGUUGGAUGGGUCAGCAUCAAUUUUGACCGUUGGAUAAAGGCCUAGGUAAUGUGGCAUCCUCGGAUGUGUUAUAGACCUGGGUUGGAUACAACGAUUGGGAUUGAGGAACUCAGUGUGCCUUUAUGGUUGCACUCAGGAUGCUGGCA
rnacentral:rRNA from 1 species